GAGGAAUUCAUAAGCAGAAUUGAAUUUGUUUUAGUUAACUCCUUAUUUGAUUGGAAUAUUGUCGACUUAACAAAAUAGUAGAAAGAGCAUUGGGCUGAAGUGAGAAGAUUUGAAUUCUAGUCCAAAAUCUGUUACUAACCAGCUCUUUGACCCUGAGAAGUCAUUUGACUUGAAUUAUAGUCUUUUUCUUAUAUGGGAAAGGUGGAGUAUACUCAGAGUCUCUCCUAAGUGCUAAGAUUCUGUGAUUCUAUGAAAUCAGACCAUCAGAGAGGAAUACUGCAGUGUUCUCCUGCAUGGGUUGUAAAUGAAAAAAGAAAGAAGGAGAGCAAAAUGACUUAAAGACAUUUUCAAGAAAAAAAGAGGAGAGAAGUCACUGAAAUGGAAAAAUAAACAUAUUAUAUAACUAUUUAUUGCACUAUGCAAUAAAAACAUCUUCAGCAACAGCCACACAAGUGCGGGUAGAGGGUCUGCUUUGAAGAGAGAAAAAAGGCUGCUGCAGAAAAAACAAACCUCAAUUCAUAAUUGGAGCUUUUGUUCUUUCUGGAUUGUUUUGUGAAGAACAUGCUGCCAAAAAACAUUUUUCUUCUGUAACCGCUUCUUUUGAAACUCCAUUCUUUUUUAUUUCAAGGAUGUUUAUUAUCUACUCAUUUCUUUUUAUUUAUUUUUGAAUCAUAUACCCCAAUGUCUAGAUGACUGGGACCACUAGGUUUCAUAUUUCCCAGAUGAGAUUAGUUGUACAGUUCAUUUUGCAGGUUUAUUCAGAGCAUUUCAAUGGCAUUUCACCUACAGUUCACCUAUAUUGAGUCCUAAGAAAUUGAAGGUGUUUCUUGAUAGUUCUCCUGCUCCAUCUUCUUCCAGGGGAUUGAUUUGGCUUCUUAUGUUUUUGUAUUUGGUUGCUCAUUAGAGAUAAGCCUGAUUAUUUGGCAUUGUGUAUUUUCUCUGUUUUAAAAAGGGAAAAUACAACAUGUUAUUAAUUAUUAUGAUAUAAUAAAAAAUGGAGAGAAGGAAAAAGAUUU
rnacentral:lncRNA from 1 species